CCCUACGGGGGGCAGCAGUGGGGAAUAUUGCACAAUGGGGGGAACCCUGAUGCAGCGACGCCGCGUGAGUGAAGAAGUAUUUCGGUAUGUAAAGCUCUAUCAGCAGGGAAGAAGAUGACGGUACCUGACUAAGAAGCCCCGGCUAACUACGUGCCAGCAGCCGCGGUAAUACGUAGGGGGCAAGCGUUAUCCGGAUUUACUGGGUGUAAAGGGAGCGUAGACGGCAGGGCAAGUCUGGAGUGAAAGCCCGGGGCCCAACCCCCGGACUGCUUUGGGAACUGAACGGCUGGAGUGCAGG
rnacentral:rRNA from 1 species